rnacentral:tRNA from 1 species
UAAACUAUAGUUUAUAAAAAAACAUUUAACUUACAAUUAAAAAUUACCCUUGUUAGUUUAA